rnacentral:rRNA from 1 species
GAUGAACGCUAGCGGGAGGCCUAACACAUGCAAGCCGAGCGGUAUUGUUUCUUCGGAAAUGAGAGAGCGGCGUACGGUGCGGAACACGUGUGCAACCUGCCUUUAUCUGGGGGAUAGCCUUUCGAAAGGAAGAUUAAUACUCCAUAAUAUAUUGAACGGCAUCGUUUAAUAUUGAAAGCUCCGGCGGAUAGAGAUGGGCACGCGCAAGAUUAGCUAGUUGGUGAGGUAACGGCUCACCAAGGCGAUGAUCUUUAGGGGGCCUGAGAGGGUGAUCCCCCACACUGGUACUGAGACACGGACCAGACUCCUACGGGAGGCAGCAGUGAGGAAUAUUGGUCAAUGGGCGCAAGCCUGAACCAGCCAUCCCGCGUGAAGGACGACUGCCCUAUGGGUUGUAAACUUCUUUUGUAUAGGGAUAAACCUACCUCGUGAGGGUAGCUGAAGGUACUAUACGAAUAAGCACGGCUAACUCCGUGCCAGCAGCCGC